GAUGAACGCUGGCGGCGUGGAUAAGGCAUGCAAGUCGAGCGAACAGACGAGGAGCUUGCUCCUCUGACGUUAGCGGUGGACGGGUGAGUAACACGUGGAUAACCUACCUAUAAGACUGGGAUAACUUCGGGAAACCGGAGCUAAUACCGGAUAACAUGUUGAACCGCAUGGUUCAACAGUGAAAGACGGUCUUGCUGUCACUUAUAGAUGGAUCCGCGCCGCAUUAGCUAGUUGGUAAGGUAACGGGUUACCAAGGCAACGAGGCGUAGCCGACCUGAGAGGGUGAUCGGACACACUGGAACUGAGACACGGUCCAGACUCCUACGGGAGGCAGCAGUAGGGAAUCUUCCGCAAUGGGCGAAAGCCUGACGGAGCAACGCCGCGUGGGUGAAGAAGGUCUUCGGAUCGUAAAACUCUGUUAUUAGGGAAGAACAAAUGUGUAAGUAACUAUGCACGUCUUGACGGUACCUAAUCAGAAAGCCACGGCUAACUACGUGCCAGCAGCCGCCGUAA
rnacentral:rRNA from 1 species